rnacentral:lncRNA from 10 species
UGGGUUUUUGGUGUGGAUGUCCUUUCUGUUUGUUAGUUUUCCUUCUAACAGACAGGACCCUCAGCUGUAGGUCUGUUGGAAUACCCUGCAGUGUGAAGUGUCAGUGUGCCUCUGCUGGGGGGUGCCUCCCAGUUAGGCUGCUUGGGGGUCAGGGGUCAGGGACCCACUUGAGGAGGCAGUCUGCCCGUACUCAGAUCUCCAGCUGCGUUCUGGGAGAACCACUGCUCUCUUCAAAGCUGUCAGACAGGGACAUUUAAGUCUGCAGAGGUUACUUCUGUCUUUUUGUUUGUCUGUGCCCUGCCCCCAGAGGUGGAGCCUACAGAGGCAGGCAGGCCUCCUUGAGCUGUGGUGGGCUCCACCCACUUCGAGCUUCCUGGCUGCUUUGUUUACCUAAUCAAGCCUGGGCAAUGGCGGGUGCCCCUCCCCCAGCCUCGUUGCCGCUUUGCAGUUUGAUCUCAGACUGCUGUGCUAGCAAUCAGCGAGACUCCAUGGGCGUAGGACCCUGCGAGCCAGGUGCGGGACAUAAUCUCGUGGUGCGCCGCUUUUUAAGCCGGUCCGAAAAGCGCAGUAUUCGGGUGGGAGUGACCCGAUUUUCCAAGUGCGUCCGUCACCCCUUUCUUUUACUCAGAAAGGGAACUCCCUGACCCCUUGCGCUUCCCAAGUGAGGCAAUGCCUCACCCUGCUUCGGCUCGCGCACGGUGCGCGCACCCACUGACCUGCGCCCACUGUCUGGCACUCCGUAGUGAGAUGAACCCGCUACCUCAGAUGGAAAUGCAGAAAUCACCUGUCUUCUGCCUCGCUCACGCUGGGAGCUGUAGACGGAAGCUGUUCCUAUUCGGCCAUCUUGGCUCCUUCCCCGGGGAAACACAUAUAAUGUUUUAAAAGUAUUCUGAUCUCUGGAUUCUUAACUUGGAGGCCAUGGAUAGGCUUAAAACUCAUCCAAAAUGUUUUGUGUGCUUUUGUUUUUUUGUAGAGGAAGUUUCCAAAACUUUCUUCUAAUUCUCAAAGAGAUAGUAGAACAAUUAAUCUAAUCUCAAUCUCUAAAUUCACCUGUGAGAAAAAUGAGACCUGGAUCUGUUGCUAGAUCUAUGAACAGACCAACUAUGAGACCUUGGCCAGCACUCAGCCUUCUGCUGGGAGGAAGGGUCAGUGCUGCCUAGAGAAAAGAGCACUAGACUCAGAGAAAGCAAGGACAAAGCACAGAGCUUGUGGGAGAAACCAUCACGGACUCAGACUUCUCCUGGCACUCAGGUGUCUGCUUUGCUUUCUCUUCACUCCUCCUUGUUGUAUUACCCCAUCUCCCACUGCAGAAAUUUACUUUACUUUUUGAUAUACAAGAUACUGAGACUGCAUCUGUCAAAUUUUCACUGCCAAAAUUAUUUUGCAAAACUCUACUCAGUUUUAUAUACUCGUGUGGUUGUUUCUCUUUGUUUUUCACUAACAUUGAAAGCAAAUCUACAGGAAAUACUUUUUUUUGCUUGGAAGAGGAAUAGAGAUUAUAAUCUAAUUUGGUGGAAAGACUGCUGCCUGUAUCCAACUCUACAUACAUUUGAGUCCAGUGCUAUGCAAAUAUGAUAACGAAAACUCAGAGAGGCUUGUUGAUAUGCUGUAUUUCAAUGGGUAAGUCUAAAAUCCUGAUGAAAAUAAAAUCUGCUCUGAUUUUUACAUUUAUAAACUGAGACACCAUCUGACAACUGGGCAGCAAUAUGCAAAUAGAUUUGCUGGGAUUUUUAAGCAGCUUUCCCUGUAAUUCAGAUGUGCAUAGUGCAGAAAGUCUCCUUUGCUUUCUGCACAUGUCCAAAGUAACUGUUCUAAAUCUGAUAUGAACCUGUCCCCUUAUCCCAGUGAAAAAAUACUGCUAUGGGAGCUAAAUUGGGCUGGGAGAAAAAGACUGAGACCACCAAGUAUUUUCAGAAUGACCCCAAAGGCCAUCUGUCUUUCUGACUUGUAACUGAUAUUGGUGCUAAGACUUUGGUAGAUCAGUUCCAGCCCAGACAGCUCUCAUUUUAUGUAUAUAGAAAUAAAAUGAGCUUUGGGUUACAAAUAAUCAGCUUAAUAACAACAUCAGCAUCUGCUCAAUAUUAUAGUUAUUCCUAACCUUGGUUGGAUUCCUACUUUGCAUUCUAAUCUCCCAGAGUGUAGUUUUUACCAUAGAACUAACCGUCUGCUUUGUACUUAAGAAUAUAGGUUCCAACUAUUUAACCCCAACUCUUCAUUUUACACUACUAAAUUUACUUUACCCACGCGAAUAUUCCAUUUUCCUUAUUUGUAACAUUUAUAGUUUAGCAAUCUUACCAUGCUUUGUUUAUAUAUUUUUCCGUGCAAAUAGGGGUUUUGA